UACGGAGGGUGCGAGCGUUGUCCGGAAUCAUUGGGCGUAAAGGCCGCGUAGGUGGCCCGGUCAGUCCGUGGUGAAAGCGCGGGGCUCAACCCCGCGUCGGCCAUGGAUACUGCUGGGCUGGAGCACUGUAGAGGCAGGCGGAAUUCCGGGUGUAGCGGUGGAAUGCGUAGAGAUCCGGAAGAACACCGGUGGCGAAGGCGGCCUGCUGGGCAGUUGCUGACACUGAGGCGCGACAGCGUGGGGAGCAAACAGG
rnacentral:rRNA from 1 species